rnacentral:rRNA from 11 species
GGGUAGGGGAGCGUCGUGCAUGGUGUGAAGCAGUACCGUAAGGGGUUGUGGACUGUGUGCGAGUGAGAAUGCAGGCAUGAGUAGCGAAUUGGAAGGUGAGAAUCCUUCCCGCCGGAUGACUAAGGGUUCCUGGGUCAAGUUCGUCUUCCCAGGGUGAGUCGGGUCCUAAGGCGAGGCCGACAGGCGUAGUCGAUGGUUAACGGGUUGAUAUUCCCGUACCCGUGUAUGCGCGCCAAGUGAUGAAGCGGUGAGACUAACCACCCUGAGCGCCGGCUAUGACGCCACUUUGUGGUGUUGGGUUGGUGUGAUGCGUGGGGCCUGAUCCGUGGUAGUCAAGUGAUGGGGUGACGCAGGAAGGUAGCCAAGCCACCGGUUGGUGUGUGGUGUAAGCGUGUGGCACGACAGUGUGUGAAAUGCCGCUGUCAUAUGUGUGAGGCGUGAUGCGUAGCCCGUUUGUGGGUGAUGUUGGUGAUCCUAUGCUGCCGAGAAAAGCCUCUAGCGAUGUGUGUAUACGGCCCGUACCCGAAACCGACACAGGUAGUCAGGUAGAGAAUACUAAGGAGAGCGAGAUAAUCGUAGUUAAGGAACUCGGCAAAUUGCCCCCGUAACUUCGGAAGAAGGGGGACCAUCCUG